rnacentral:tRNA from 1 species
GCCGGUGUGGCUCAAUGGAUAGAGCACCAGCCUGCGGACUGAAGGGCCCCGGGUUCAAUUCCCGUCAAGGGCA